GAACGGUGUGUCGCUGGGCACCGCCUUUGAGAAUCUGUCCAGGGGCCUGGGCAUGGCCUACUUCCCAGCCAUCAGCCUCUCCUUCAAGGAGUCCGUGGCCUUCAACUUCGGCAGCCGCCCCCUGCGAUAUCCUUUGGGGAAGAUGGCUGUGGGCUGCUUGCGAGCUCUUGUGAAAGCUGGGGUGAGGGGCUCCCUGCCCGAGGAGCUCUGUGGGCUGGGGUCGGGCCCUGGCUGCCAUGUGUGAGGUGGUUGCCCAGGAGGACAGUCCUUGUGGCACCCUUGCUAGGCAGGUGCCGUCACUCUCCUCAUCUCACAGAUGAAGAACACGAAGCAGCAGGAGAACUUGUGCUCCCUGGAGAGUAAGUGGGGAGCUGUGAUGUGAGCCCUACCCUAGAGCCCCAGCCCCUUCUCAGAAGUCCCAGUGGGUAGGGGGUGGGAGGGUCAGGGCCACAGAUCAGGCGUUGCCAGCUUAACUCGGUGGCACCUACCCGGUGGCGGGAUACCGGCCCCUGCAGGACCCACCGCGGGCUGACCUGGUGCAGGCCCAGAGGCUGCUGGGUUGCUUCCGGGCAGUGCUGUGUGUGGAGCUGGAUCCUGCGGAAGGACGGCUGGUAGAGAAGGAGAGCUCGGAGUGGCAGGCACAGGGCCAGCCCACCGUCCUCCUCACCCUCGCCCACAUCUUCCACCGCUUCGCACCACUCCUGCGCAAGGUGUACCUGGUGGAGGCCGUGCUCAUGAGCUUCCUGCUGGGCGUCGUGGAGGCGGCCACCCCCGCCCAGGCACAGUCCGUGGUGCACCAGGUGCUGGACCUCCUGUGGCUCUUCAUGGAGGUGAGGUCCCCACCCCAGCUCCCUGGAGCUCAGGUCAGGAUGUCGGGCUCUGCCAGGCUCGGGGGAUAAAGGGAGGGUCUUGGAAAAGGCCCCAGGAACGGCUGCCAUGGAGCCUGCCCUUGAGCAGGCAGGCGCACAGCUGGCCUCUUCCCCCAGGACUACGAGGUGCAGGAUUGCCUCAAGCAGCUGAUGAUGUCCCUGCUGCGGCUGUACCGGUUCUCGCCCAUCGUCCCAGACCUGGGCCUGCAGAUCCACUACCUGCGGCUCACUAUCGCCAUCCUGAGGCACGAGAAGUCUCGCAAGUUUCUGCUCAGCAAUGUCCUCUUCGACGUGCUCCGGGCCGUCGUCUUCUUUUACAUCAAGAGCCCCCUGCGGGUGGAGGAGGCCGGCCUGCAGGAGCUCAUCCCCACCACCUGGUGGCCCCAGCACAGCAGCAGGGAGGUGGGCAGGCGCCGCGGCGGGCAGACGGUGGCCCCGGCCCCUGGCCCCGGAGGCUCCUGCCCCAGCCCUGGUCUCUGUUGGCCUGGGGAGGGGGUGGGCUUCUGAUAGAACUAGGCCGGGGGAGCCCUGGGUGAGCCCUGCUGUCUCCCGCCGCGUGCC
rnacentral:lncRNA from 1 species